UCUCCCCACCAAUCGCAGCGCUUCCAGGCAGGGGAGGGGCCGCGCUCGGUGGCAAUAAAGGGGCUUUUCCCAAGGGGGGGCGGCCAUGUUGGUGACGGAGCCUGGGAGAGCGCCUGGAAGUUGUCCCCAGAAGGUAGACACGCGCACACCCCCCCAAAAGGAGAUGCCCAUCUCCUCCGUGGUGCUGAGGCAGCAGCACGUGGAGAGCAAGGGACUGGGCUCCGGUCCUCCAGCGAUGGUUCAGGUUCCGUUGUGAAAGCGCAGCCCAGCAGGAUGGAAAUGGUGCUCUCUUUUUCUCCCCAGCUGCCGUCGCAUCCUCUCCUUUCCCCUCCAGGGAUGUGCAGGUUUUCUCCACGUUGCUCUGAGGGCAGCUUCCCAGCUCUUGUCCCAGCAAGGGGAGGUUCCUGGCCAUGGAGGCCGUGGAGAAGGUCCCUCAGCUGGAAUCAUCCCUGUGAUGGUCCCUGUCCCAGCGCAAGUUUGGGCUGAUUGCAGUGCCACGGCUGGAAAAUCUUCAUGCUCAUGGUGUUUAGACUACGUCGUGGACAGACGAGGAGUUGGUCGUCUCUGGCAAGAGGUCGUUGCGUUUUCCUCCAGUAUCUCGUAGUCUGCUGUCAGAUGGAUUUCUGUGAAGGGAGUGAGACUCUGAGCAAAAACUGCUACAGGUUUUUGGGGCUCUUUGCCCACACGCGGACCCCGUGGAUGGCUUCAGGUCCCGCCAUUUCCCUCCCUCUGCUCACCCCAUCCCCAGACCUGGCCAGCAGCAGGGUUCAGCUCUGCCAGGCCCACCCACAAAGCCCCUCUCUUCCCACCCGGCCUGGAAACCAGCACCCAGCUGCAAACACACACUGUCCUCUCGGGCCAAGAGCAGCCUCCUGCUUUGUUAGGCCUUCUAAAUGCUGCCAAAUAACGUGUGUCUGCAUGUGUGUGCCUGGUGUGUCUGCGUGGCAACAGAAGGGAACUGGAGGGACUUGAGGCUAGCCAUGGAGGAGCCCAAGGUUCUGCUUGGAUCGAGCCAACCCCCGGCUCAAAACUGAGAUCUCGUUGGAGAGGCCCCGCUGUCCCCAGAACUACUUGCCUCCAAGGCUUGAGCCCCCAAAGGAACAGGGAUGUGGAUCACGCACCUGUUUUGCCACCUCUGACGGCGUUCUUGCAGCUCCGGGCAAUCAAAGCUGGGCUCACUGUGGACGGGGCCGCGGUGUCGGGAGCCUGGGUUUGAGCUUUGGCUUUUGGCGAUUGAUAGAGCCGGCCCCUUGGUCUGUCAGGGUCCCAGACACAGAGGUGUUGGUGGGCUCCUUGGGCGUUCUGGCUGUAAUAGGAUAAGGGCCCUGCUCCACGUACAAAGGUUUGAACUUUGGCAAUUGGGAUCCCCCAUCAUAAAAAAGUUGAGGGGGGGCCCCAAUGAGACCCCCCCCACAAAAAACAUGUUCGGGGGGGGGCGUCAAAUGAGCCCCCCCCCAAAAAAAAAGAAAUGGAGGGGGGGUCCAAAUGAGGCCCCCCCAAGAAAAUAUUUUUGGGGGGGGCCUUAAAUGAGACCCCCCCCACCAUGAAAUAUUUCAAGGGGGCCACAAGUGACCCCUACCCCCCCAAACUAUCGAAGGGGGACCAAAGGAGCCCCCCCCUUGAGACCUUGACACCCCCCCCUGCCCCCAUAAAAACUCGAGGGGGGGGCCUCAAAUGAACCCCCCCAGGAGAAUUUGGGGAAAUCCCCCCAGAAACCCGCUCAUGACCCUCACUUUGGGACACCCCCCCCCCCCCCCCCAAACCCAAGAAACUUUAAUUUUGGGGGAGAAAUCGCCCAAAACCUACAGUUUCACAUCCCCCCCUUUUCAAAUUUGGGGGAAAAUCCCCUAAAAAAAGUAAUUUCUGAUUCCUAUGCCCCCCGCAAACCCCAAAUUUUGGGGAGAAAUCCCCCAAAUCCCGCUGUUUGGGACCCCCCCAGGACCCCAAAUGUGUUGGGGGGGGCUUUUUGGGACCCCCCCCCACCCUAAAUGACUUGGGGGGGGAUGCUUUUUGCGGUCCCCCCCACCCUAAAUAAUUCUGGGGUGGCGUUUUGGGGUCCCCCCCACCCAAGUGGGUUUUCUCCCAGGGGUCCCCCAAUUUGCCCCCCCACUGCUGUACAUAAACGAUGCUCCCCCCCCGAAACCUUGUGAGUUGUUUUUUUUUUUUUUAGGGUGGGGGGGCCCCGGAAACAGCCCCAACCCCCCCAAAUUUUUGGGAGGGGGGGGCACAGAUGAGGCGGGGGGGUCGCUGCGGUGCAAACGCCUUUACUGGGAGCGGGGCAAACAGCAACGGAAGGGGUUGCAGAGGCACCGGGGGGGGCUCAGUCAGCCAAGACCUGUGGGGAGAGGGGGGGUCAGUGGGGGGUCUCACCUCCAGCGGGGGGAGUUCUGGAGUGGUCGGCGGCGCCUCGGAGCCCUUGGGCUCGGGGGGGAGGGGGCUGGCCGGGGUGUCUCCCCCCACGGCGGCGGCUCCUUGGGGGGUUGGGAAAAAAA